rnacentral:rRNA from 1 species
GACGAACGCUGGCGGCGUGCUUAACACAUGCAAGUCGAACGGAAAGGCCCUGCUUUUGUGGGGUGCUCGAGUGGCGAACGGGUGAGUAACACGUGAGUAACCUGCCCUUGACUUUGGGAUAACUUCAGGAAACUGGGGCUAAUACCGGAUAGGAGCUCCUGCUGCAUGGUGGGGGUUGGAAAGUUUCGGCGGUUGGGGAUGGACUCGCGGCUUAUCAGCUUGUUGGUGGGGUAGUGGCUUACCAAGGCUUUGACGGGUAGCCGGCCUGAGAGGGUGACCGGCCACAUGGGGACUGAGAUACGGACCAGACGCCUACGGGAGGCAGCAGGGGGGAAUAUUGCACAAUGGGCGGAAGCCUGAUGCAGCAACGCCGCGUGCGGGAUGACGGCCUUCGGGUUGUAAACCGCUUUCGCCUGUGACGAAGCGUGAGUGACGGUAAUGGGUAAAGAAGCACCGGCUAACUACGUG